rnacentral:rRNA from 1 species
GGGGAAUUUUCCGCAAUGGGCGAAAGCCUGACGGAGCAAGACCGCGUGAGGGAGGAAGGCUCUUGGGUUGUAAACCUCUUUUCUCAGGGAAGAAGAAAGUGACGGUACCUGAGGAAUCAGCCUUGGCUAACUCCGUGCCAGCAGCCGCGGUAAUACGGAGGAGGCAAGCGUUAUCCGGAAAUAUUGGGUGUUAAGCAUUCGCAGGAGGCACGCCCGAGUUCAUGGUGAAUGUUCGGCAAUGGGAUUAGAUACCC